rnacentral:rRNA from 1 species
AACUUUCACCAMCGGAUCUCUUGGCUCUCCCAUCGAUGAAGAACGCAGCGAACUGCGAUACGUAAUGUGAAUUGCAGAAUUCAGUGAAUCAUCGAAUCUUUGAACGCAUCUUGMGCCGCUCGGGUUUCCGAGGGGCACGUCUGUUUGAGUGUCACGUU